CCAUGUUUUUGCUUUGCACGUGACCUGAACCUGAAAACAAAAUGGCGGAUGCCACAUCUGUUGACAAUUAAAAAACAGGAAACUUUCGUCAUCACGAUUGUCCAUCCAUUUUCUUGAACAUUUAAAGCUUUUAGUGGUGCCAUAGUUGUUCAGUACUGGAGUUGCACGAUGAUUAAAGGAAUCCUCGUCUUCAAUAACCACGGAAAGCCGAGGCUCACAAAGUUUUAUCAGUUUUACGCUGAGGAUGUACAGCAUCAGAUCAUCCGAGAAACAUUUCAUCUGGUGUCGAAACGUGAUGACAGCGUCUGCAAUUUUCUUGAGGGGGGAACGUUGAUCGGAGGCUCAGAUUACAGACUGAUUUACCGUCACUAUGCUACUCUCUACUUUGUGUUUUGUGUUGACUCCUCGGAGAGUGAGCUCGGCAUUCUGGAUUUAAUUCAGGUAUUUGUUGAAACUUUGGACAAGUGUUUUGAAAAUGUCUGUGAGCUGGAUCUGAUCUUCCAUGUUGACAAGGUGCAUUACAUCCUGAGUGAGCUGGUGAUGGGCGGCAUGGUGCUGGAGACCAACAUGACUGAGAUCAUCACACGCAUCGAGGAACAGAGCAAGAUGGAGAAGCAAGAGGCGAGGCAGCGAGUGUUGGGAGCGCUGCACAAGAUCGGCGGCAACGCGGGCGUGUACGGGCGCGCCAAGGAGAGCGGCGAGACGGACGGCAUACAGGGAGGCAACAUGUCUCAGCGACAGUCCGCCUUCCUGCCCCUCGGUGUGCGCAUGUGACUGCUCCGCUCCAUCAGGCUAGGAGGUGUUCUGGGACCUCCUCCCUCCCUCCCUCCCUCCCUCUAUCCUCCCAUCCCCACUCGUGGUUGUUGUGCUGUUGUCCAUGUAUUGUUGUUUGGCGUCAUGUCUACCGGCAGUACAUCCCAACCCCCUCCCCCCCUUUCCCAACCCACUCCCCCAACCACCACCACCAGCACGGACGGGCAACAGAUGGGGGGGCGGGAGGCGGAGCAGAGACGUUGGCGGGUAUCUCGGCGGCCCCAGCCCGUGCCGUGUCGGCCGUGAAGGAGAUGAACAUCCCACAGAAGAUCAAGGACAUCAAACUGCCGGACCUGCCCAGCAUCGGAAACCUCAAGUUCUGAGAGAGUGCACGGACUGUUAGCGUGGUGGUGUGCUUGUUGAUGAUGGUUUUGGUGUUCUUCUUGUUGUUCUUGUUCUUGUAUGAGCAAAAGUGUGGAGCUUUAGUGAUGAUGGGAUGACUAGGUGCGUGUGAGAGAAAUAAUGUAUGAAGAGAGGGUGAAGGUGUGAUGGGAGAAAGAUUGAAGAGAGACAGAGACGGACGGAUAGAGACCAAGAGAAAGAGACUUGCAGAUGAAGUGGAAGAGACAGACAGACUCAGACAGAGAGAGAGACA